rnacentral:rRNA from 1 species
GAUGAACGCUGGCGGCGUGCCUAAUACAUGCAAGUCGAACGCUUCACAUAUGUGAAGAGUGGCGAACGGGUGAGUAAUACAUAAGUAACCUGGCCUUUACAGGGGGAUAACUGUUGGAAACGAUAGCUAAGACCGCAUAGGUGUGAUAACCGCAUGGAGAUGACAUGAAAUAUGCUACGGCAUAGGUAGAGGAUGGACUUAUGGCGCAUUAGCUAGUUGGAGGGGUAACGGCCCACCAAGGCGACGAUGCGUAGCCGACCUGAGAGGGUGACCGGCCACACUGGGACUGAGACACGGCCCAGACUCCUACGGGAGGCAGCAGUAGGGAAUUUUCGGCAAUGGGGGAAACCCUGACCGAGCAACGCCGCGUGAAGGAAGAAGUAAUUCGUUAUGUAAACUUCUGUCAUAGAGGAAGAACGGUGCGUGUAGGGAAUGACAUGCAAGUGACGGUACUCUAUAAGAAAGCCACGGCUAACUACGUG